GUGCUCAUUUCGGCAGCACAUAUACUAAAAUUGGAACAAUACAGAGAUUACAUGGCCCCUGCUCAAGGAUGACACGCAAAUCUAUAAAUUAGCAGACACAGUU